GCUGCUACUCUGAAACCAAUUAGCCAAAUUGUAGCACAGGUGAAUACAUGAGGCUAUCCAAGAUGAUAUCCACUGAGCAGAAACUGGGAGCCCCUUCAUCCUUUCUGUGAUUGCUACAAAGAGCUAGGAAGGAACUGGUUGGACCUGUUGUGGUAGAAUGCCAACAUUCUCUUAACAUCCAGAGUGUAGCCUUUCCUCAUUUUUAUUCAUGUGUGGUUUGGGAAAGAAAAAAGAAACUGCUUGGUUGAUAUUGAAUCUAUCCACCACUUUUGAGACAAAAUUUCAUAUGAGAAUGAAGGUAAAUUUUGUCUUUAAAGAAAACAGCAUUAAAAGGGCCAGACACGAUGGCCUGCAGCUCACCUAACCUACUAGCACAAGUGAUGGCCAUCAAAAGUGCUACCUUCAUUGAAAAGUACAGUAAAGAGCAAAAGUCUCAAAAGCCGGACUCGUACGCUUUGACAAUACCAAAUUUAGGAUCUUAUACCUAAGGAUAAGAUUUUUUGAAAGGUUUGGAAAAAUUGUAUUGACAUUCUAUUAAAAAAAGACAGAGCAGUUAUCCACCUGAGGGUGGAAGGCCAAGAUAACUGCUAGGUGACCUUAAUGGAACUAACUGCCAAAUCUUGCUGUUUUAGGUACAAAAGAUGCUAGAUUUGCCAUUGCAUUUUUCAAACUCCAGACAGAUCAAAUAGAGAAGCACUUCCACUUAGAAAGGAAAGAAGAUCUAGUAGAUAGCUUUCUACUAUUCAGCAGCAGAUCUUGAACACGAUUCCUCCACAGGAUUUAAACUAUGGAGCAUCCAUGUCAUUAGAUGGAUUGCUUGCAGGUUUAUACAGAGCAGGCAACCAGGUCUUGAGAAAUUAGAUGUCAGUCCAAUGGAAGCAGUUAUCAGCUCUUUCACCAAAAGGGACAGUGCUGUCUCAGCCAUACUAGGACAGUUAGAAUGACACAGGCACAAUCCAGUCUGAUUUUUAGUAGUGAAGGAGUCAAAUUGGGGAAGCGUACCCUGGGAGAGCAACUUCCUUUAUCAGGAAAGCAUCCAUUAGGGAAUGUAAACUGGAACCACAAACACAAAAUGCCAGCAGUUUUGUUCCCUAUCUCACUGCAAACAGAGCUACCUGGGGAGUCCCUAGGACUGGAAAAUGGACUGGCUACAUUCAGAUGAAGGGAUCACUCAUGGUUGACUCGUAAAUAACUUUCUUAGAUGAUCUGCCAGCUUGUUCUGCACUCCUGGAGGAUAAGAAGCUUUGAGAGCGAUAGAGUUGGCAAUGCAAAAAUCCCCUAGAUGAACCGAUUCUUGACAAAGCAGAAAUGAGCAGGUGCCACCUUGUUUGUUGAGAUAGAACAUUGCCGCUGUGUUGUCCGAGAGAGUAAACAGGUCUUUUCCCCUUCAUAAGGGGGAGGUGUGAUGUUGCACUCCAUAUGUUUUAUGGAAAUAUGCUUAUGAGUGUGAAUAGGAUGUAACCGGAAUAUGCUUUAUGCAAAAGGUCUUUUGUAAGGUAUCAAAACAAAGGUUAUAACAUACUGAAUAUAUUCCUCCUAUUUGUAUGCCUGUAUCAUUCUUGUAUCUGAAACUAGAAAUAUGAAGUAUAAUACGCGGGGGAGCAAACAGCUGUGCAUCUCUCUGUAAAUAUCCAUUUUACUCUGUAUAAAGCUGAUGCUCCUAAGAAAGCGUUUGGUGGCAGGAUGGGCAAAUAUCAAUAUACCAUCCACCUUGUGGUGAAAAGCAGUAACAGUGGUGAGGUGUACUUUAAGUGAGCUAAGGGAUAGGCCAGAGUUCUUUAGUUCUAGCAUGUAUUCUAUUGAUAAGGGGGCAACAACAGGUCAGGCUCGUUUGUUUCGGCACCAGAUUGUGAAUUUCUUCCAUUUAUGCAGGUAAGUAUUUCAUGUGCUUGUCCUCCUAUUGUUUACUAAUAUGCUAAUUUUAGUAAUACUAAUUUUCACCUGUUCGAAGGUGGUCAGUUUGUCAUGUUGGAGGCUUUUAGAAACCAUGCUCUCAGGUGAAGUCUCUCUAGGUUUGGAUUGUAAACCUCUCUUGGCAUCUUGUGAGAGAAGAUUCGGCAAGAGUACACUCUGCACCUACUACCAUCCUCAACAGCGGGGGGCAGGUGGAAAUGCAUAUAGCAGAGGCACAUCCCAUUUGAGGAGAAAGGCAUCACCCAAGGAAAAGGGAACCCAAUCCUGGUCUUGAGCAGAACUAUGGGCAGUUGCAGUUCUGGGAGGUUGUGAAGAGGUCUAUGCAUGGGUGACCCCAGUGUUUGAAUAUGUUGUGCAGGACUGUGUUGUUUAACUCCCACUUGUGGUCCUGGAAGAAUUCCCUGCUCACCAUAUCCACUGUGGUGUUUUGACAUCCUGGAAGGUACAAAGCUGAGAUGCUGACAUUGUGCCAGAUACACUAGUUCCAUAGUUUCAUGGCUUUGGUGCAUAGGAAGUGCGACCUUGUCCCUCCCUGUCGGUUUAUAUAAAGCAUGCAGGCAAUGUUGUCUGUCAUUACCAGUAUAGUCUUGUUCCUGAUCAAUGACAAAGUGCAAGCAUGCAUUGUUAACUGCAUGCAGUUCCAGGAGAUGUGUGUAACUGUGUCGGUGGGAGACCUCUGGCCCUGAAUUCUGUGAUGUGUGACCAAGGAGGCAUUGGUUGUGCAAAUCAUUGAAAGUGGAGUCAGUGUGAAAGGGACUCCCACGAACACAUUGUUGCGUUGCGUCCACCAGCACAGCAAGUCUUUGGACUUUAAGCAGCAUUACGAGGCGUCUGUUUAGGCUGUGUUUGUGUGGUAUGUAGACUGUUCUUAACCCAGCCUUGAAGGCCACGCAUGUGAACAUGCACAUGUUGCACCACAAAUGUGGUUGCCGCGUAGUGGCCUAAUAGUUGAAGGCAGGUCCAUGCCGAUAUCUGCAGGCUGUUCAGUACAGUGGAGGUCAGAUUGACUAUGGUGAGGAAUCUGGUUGGUGGCAGUGAUGUUUUGGCCUCUAGAGUAUCGAGGUGCACUCUGAUGAAGUCCAGUUUCUGCACGGAUGUCAUUGUUGAUUUUUGUACUUUGAGUUGUAGUUGCAAUCGUGAGAGGGUGAUUGUGUGUGUAGUAUCCAUGACAUCUGCCUGGGUGGAUGUUUUUAACAGGCAAUCAUCCACAUAGGGAAAAAUUGAGAUUCUGUUUUCAGAGGUGUGCUGCCACUACAGUGAGCAUUUUGGAAAAAACACCUGAGAUGCUAAUAGCCAAAUGGCAGAACCUUGUAUUGAUAGUGUUCAGGUCAGACCUGACAUCAUUGCAAGGGUACUUCCAGUAUCCUCGGGAAGAGCCCAUAUAUUGAUUCCUCAUUGUUUGCAACUCCAAAAAGUUGGUGCUGAGCUGAAAUUCCUUGAGAGACCACCUGUCUCAAGUUCCAUCUAAACUCCCCAUACUGAAAAGCUGGUAGCAGCAGUCUUAAUUUGAAAAAUACUGCUUACUUUUGGUUUAAAAAAAAAUCAAGGAGAAAAAAAAACCUCCAAUACAGGAGUUCUAGUCUUCAUACUGAAACACACUGUAGAAACAGAACUUGAGUACCUAAGAAAUGCUGUAUUGUGUCACUGUACAGCAAAGCCAAAGAAAGUUCUCCCUCAAUACAGAAGUAACCAGAAACAGACAAGUAUAACCAGCAUGUAGUAAGAAUUUAUUCAAAACUAGAGCAUGAAGAAAAAGUUCACAUAACCAAGUUACAUGAAUAGGACAAAUCAGACACCCAUGCAGAAGAAAAAUAUGGACAAAACAGUAAUGCACAUGUUUUUCGUAAUGCCAAAAUAUUUAACAUCCUAAAACAGUGUUCCAGACACCUAGAGUACUUCAUUAAUGUACAAGGUCAUUUUUCUGAAUAGGGAUAAGUGCAAUUUGUGGUAGUAAUAUGGAAAACAAUGAAUUUAACAGCUACAGUAUUUAUCAAUCCUCAUGCCAGGUUUAAGAAUACAAGCAAAGAACUACAUCAUUACACAAAAUAAGUGGAUGUCUUUUCAAGGCAAAAAGUUUCUAGUAAAACAGUACUAAACUGCUGAAAUAAUGAUUUGAUAAUAUAAAUGUUAAAAAAACAUACAAACCCCCUCCAUCCAUGGAUGGGUACUUUUUAUAAAAUUACACUAAUAUUCUGUAGAAUCAAAAAGUUAUGGUAACUGAAUGGUCCGGUGCUCAAAACACUAAUCAGAUCUUGAAAAUAAUAGUUCUGAAAUCUGACAAACUACAGAAAUCAUAUGUAAUAUUAGGCAGGAAAAACAGUAGGGAAAAAUGCAAGGCUCACUUGAGAAAUGGUAAGUCUAUGCUACAGUGGUAUUUUCAUACUUUAAGAAUUUUGAGGUGAACAGAUUUACAAGCAACCGUAUAGCCAAGUCUGACAUAAAUAUACAAUAAAUACGGUAUAGUUUUGUAAGAGUUCUGUGUAUUAUAAAAAUAUAAAACUAAUUUCCACAGAUUGCAGCAGGCAAACCAACCUGUUAAAGGUAGCACAAUGAAGCUAUGAGAUAUGGCAAUCUUGACUGCCAAGAAGCCAGGAAUCAUUCAGACCAAGCUGACUUUGGUUUACUUUAGGCAGAUAUUUACAAUUUCGUUACAAUUUAAAUGAUUAAAAAAAUCUAUUUGUUAGAAAAUAAAUCCUCUUCAACAUCUCUUACAAGCUUUGUGGUUUUUUUUCCCCCUCUAAAUACAGCUUUCUGAAGUGCUAGCUAAUAGUUUAGUGUAGUAAUUAUAAUCUCAAUUCAUCUUCCCUUCCUCCUAUUUGCUGACAGAGUUCAUUGUCAUACUAAGAGUUCCGCUAAAAAAAGUCAACCACCAGAUCAAAAUCUUUUUAUUUCUCCAAGACACAACCUAACUGCAGUGUUGUAAAGAUAGUUUCUGGGCACUAGGAAGGUUGUUCAAAACUUUCUAAUUCUCAACCAAAGAGGAUAUAGCUCAAUAGUAUGCAGCUGGGUGAACAUGCAGAAGAGUAGAAAAAAAGCUAUAGCUUCAGAUAAUUUUAAGAAAAGAAACUAUGUUUGAACUUCCUUAAACAGAAAUAUUUAAAAAUAUAAUUUCUAUUAUAUUGAUGGGAAAGUUUUGAUUUGUCAUUAUCGAGCUCUAAAGUAUCUACAAUUUUCUAUUAAAGACAUGGAACACAAGAAAUAACUCCAGACUUUCCUCUUAGUUGCGUUUCAGAGUCUAAUUAUCAGGCCAAGUGCAAAAGGGGAGCAGAGGUGGAAUAUUUACUAGCUAAUGGCUUGAGGAAAACGCUAUCACCAACUUAUUCCGCAUAUUACCAGAACAUAGUAUGAACAUGGUUGGGGUGAAGAGGAUAAUUGUUUCAACCCAAAUUCUGCACUCCAAUCAGUGGGAAUUUGGCUCAGUUCUGUCUUAUAUUAGCUAACACAAGCUCCCUAAAAUGAAUUUUACAUGAUGCAUCAACUAAUACUGCAGUGAACCAUAAAGAUUUUAAAAAAUUCCAGGUAUUCAGUUCAAGAUAUAGAAAAUUAA